CCUACGGGUGGCAGCAGUGGGGAAUAUUGGACAAUGGGGGCAACCCUGAUCCAGCCAUGCCGCGUGUGUGAAGAAGGCCCUCGGGUUGUAAAGCACUUUCAGUGAGGAAGAACGCCUGGUGGUUAAUACCCAUCAGGAAAGACAUCACUCACAGAAGAAGCACCGGCUAACUCCGUGCCAGCAGCCGCGGUAAUACGGAGGGUGCGAGCGUUAAUCGGAAUUACUGGGCGUAAAGCGCGCGUAGGUGGCUUGAUAAGCCGGUUGUGAAAGCCCCGGGCUCAACCUGGGAACGGCAUCCGGAACUGUCCAGCUAGAGUGCAGGAGAGGAAGGUAGAAUUCCCGGUGUAGCGGUGAAAUGCGUAGAGAUCGGGAGGAAUACCAGUGGCGAAGGCGGCCUUCUGGACUGACACUGACACUGAGGUGCGAAAGCGUGGGUAGCAAACAGGAUUAGAUACCCCUGUAGUC
rnacentral:rRNA from 1 species